CUAUGGUUUGCCUGUCACUGCAAACUCAGUGACAGGGUGUGGAAGCCCUUAUA
rnacentral:ncRNA from 1 species